UACGUAGGGGGCAAGCGUUAUCCGGAUUUACUGGGUGUAAAGGGAGCGUAGACGGCCAGACAAGUCUGAAGUGAAAAUCCAGCGCUUAACGUUGGAAGUGCUUUGGAAACUGCCGGGCUAGAGCGCAGGAGGGGCAGGCGGAAUUCCUAGUGUAGCGGUGAAAUGCGUAGAUAUUAGGAGGAACACCAGUGGCGAAGGCGGCCUGCUGGACUGCAACUGACGUUGAGGCUCGAAGGCGUGGGGAGCAAACAGG
rnacentral:rRNA from 1 species